rnacentral:rRNA from 1 species
AGAUUGAACGCUGGCGGCAGGCCUAACACAUGCAAGUCGAGCGGUAGAGAGGUGCUUGCAUCUCUUGAGAGCGGCGGACGGGUGAGUAAUGCCUAGGAAUCUGCCUAGUGGUGGGGGAUAACGUUCGGAAACGGACGCUAAUACCGCAUACGUCCUACGGGAGAAAGCGGGGGACCUUCGGGCCUCGCGCCAUUAGAUGAGCCUAGGUCGGAUUAGCUAGUUGGUGAGGUAAUGGCUCACCAAGGCGACGAUCCGUAACUGGUCUGAGAGGAUGAUCAGUCACACUGGAACUGAGACACGGUCAGACUCCUACGGGAGGCAGUCGAGUGGGGGAAUUA